UUGCCACGCCCGCUCAGAAACUUAAAGGAAUUGACGGGGGCCCGCACAAGCGGUGGAGUAUGUGGUUUAAUUCGAUGCAACGCGAAGAACCUUACCUGGUCUUGACAUCCCGGAGACCCUUAGGAAACUAGGGGGUGCUUCCAUCUGGAAGAAUCUGGAGACAGGUGCUGCAUGGCUGUCGUCAGCUCGUGUCGUGAGAUGUUGGGUUAAGUCCCGUAACGAGCGCAACCCUUGUCCUUAGUUACCAGCACGUUAUGGUGGGCACUCUAAGGAGACUGCCGGUGACAAACCGGAGGAAGGUGGGGAUGACGUCAAGUCAUCAUGGCCCUUGCGGCCUGGGCUACACACGUGCUACAAUGGUCGGUACAAAGGGUUGCCAAGCCGCGAGGUGGAGCUAAUCCCAUAAAACCGAUCGUAGUCCGGAUCGCAGUCUGCAACUCGACUGCGUGAAGUCGGAAUCGCUAGUAAUCGUGAAUCAGAAUGUCACGGUGAAUACGUUCCCGGGCCUU
rnacentral:rRNA from 1 species